GACUCGAGUGGACGCCUCAACAGCCAGCCGACCGGUUUGGACCUCCACUGCAGGGAUGAAAGUCGUCUUGAUGUUGUGCUGCACCCUGGCGGUGGCCUCAGCGGGUCCCUUCUGGCGGCCCGGAAGCGCUGUCGGCAACGCGGCCGGUCAGGUCACUCAUGGUGUCAACUCCAACUAUGGAGGCUCCUCCUCCGUCUCCCAUGUGACCGCCCAGGCCCACGGGGCAGUGCGUGGCCCUGGCACCAGCCACAACGCGGCAAAUGCUUUUCUCAACACCGCAAACAACAUCUACGGCUCAUCUCAUAAUUCGGGGGCGAACGCGGUGUCCAUCCAACAGGCGGGCCUUGGACGGAGACCGUUCCGCCGUCCGUGUUACUACUGCCACUAGGGCUCCUCUGAGACUCCUAGAGCGUGAUGUCGGACACGCCGCGUCCGUUCACGUGUCAACAACGCCGUGUCGGUGCCGGGGUCACCGGGUCAUGGGUGACCGCGAAGGUCACGGGUCACACGGGCUGACGUGCGGGGCGUCCAGAGUCGCGGCGGUGAAGUGCCGCCUGGCAGCACCGCAUCUGGCCCCAGGUGGGUGGGGGCUGACGGCGCUGGGCGCGAGGAACGCACGCUGACACACCUUGUGAUGAGCUCUGUGUGAAAAAAUUAAUACAAGCCAGUGAAACGAA